GACUAACGCUGGCGGCGUGCCUAAUACAUGCAAGUCGAACGGGAUUCUUUGAUCAGCUUGCUGAGAGAAGGAUCUAGUGGCGGACGGGUGAGUAACGCGUGGGAAUCUGCCUCUUACUGGGGGAUAACAGUGGGAAACUACUGCUAAUACCGCAUAAGAUCUUCGGAUGAAAGGUGCAACUGCACCGGUAAGAGAUGAGCCCGCGUCCCAUUAGCUAGUUGGUGAGGUAAAGGCUCACCAAGGCGACGAUGGGUAGCCGGCCUGAGAGGGUGAACGGCCACACUGGGACUGAGACACGGCCCAGACUCCUACGGGAGGCAGCAGUAGGGAAUCUUCCGCAAUGGGCGCAAGCCUGACGGAGCGACGCCGCGUGAGUGAUGAAGGCCUUCGGGUCGUAAAGCUCUGUUCUUGAGGACGAAUAAGCCAGGGAGUGGAAAGCCCGUGGUGAUGACUGUACUCAAGGAGAAAGCUCCGGCUAACUACGUGCC
rnacentral:rRNA from 1 species